rnacentral:rRNA from 1 species
GACCUCAAAUCAGGUAGGAUUACCCGCUGAACUUAAGCAUAUCAAUAAGCGGAGGAAAAGAAACUAACAAGGAUUCCCCUAGUAACUGCGAGUGAAGCGGGAAAAGCUCAAAUUUAAAAUCUGGCGGUUUCACCGUCCGAGUUGUAAUCUAGAGAAGUGUUAUCCGUGCUGGACCGUGUACAAGUCUCUUGGAAUAGAGCGUCAUAGAGGGUGAGAAUCCCGUCUUUGCCACGGACUGCCCGUGCAUUGUGAUGCGCUCUCAACGAGUCGAGUUGUUUGGGAAUGCAGCUCAAAAUGGGUGGUAAACUCCAUCUAAAGCUAAAUAUUGGCGAGAGACCGAUAGCGAACAAGUACCGUGAGGGAAAGAUGAAAAGAACUUUGGAAAGAGAGUUAAACAGUACGUGAAAUUGUUGAAAGGGAAACGCUUGAAGUCAG